rnacentral:rRNA from 1 species
AGCGAACGCUAGCGGCGGGCUUAACACAUGCAAGUCGAGCGCCUCUCUUCGGAGAGGAGCGGCGAACGGGUGAGUAACACGUAGGUUAUCUGCCCUGGGGUGAGGGACAACCGCGUUAACACGCGGCUAAUACCACAUAUGGACUACGGUUCAAAGGCUUCGGCCGCCCUGGGAUGAGCCUGCGUCCCAUUAUUUAAUCCUGGUUGGUGGGGUAAUGGCCUACCAAGGGUACGAUGGGUAGCUGGUUUGAGAGAAUGAUCAGCCACACUGGGACUGAGACACGGCCCAGACUCCUACGGGAGGCAGCAGUGGGGAAUAUUGCGCAAUGGGCGAAAGCCUGACGCAGCCACGCCGCGUGAGUGAUGAAGGCCCGAGGGUCGUAAAGCUCUGUCGGGAGGGAAGAACACAAUGACGGUACCUCCCAAGAAAGCACCGGCUAACUCCG